AUGGAAGGCCUUCUACACUAGGAUUUCUCGCCCGGCCUUGCGGUUGCGGCUCAGGUGCGUCGUCGUUUUUGAUCUUCUGUUCAGUUCUCCCCUUCUGGAUCGACCAAGGAGUUCUUCUUGGUUGUCUUCUUCUCGUCAGCUUCUUUCUCUCUUUCCGAAGAAUCUGUGGCCAUUGCACUUCAAUGUUCCAUUGGUGGUCUCCCAUCCGGUCUCAAUGUGCACCAUCUUCAUGGAAGAUCUUACCGUUUUUCUGUUGCUUCUAAUCGCGUGGGACAUUUCAUCUAUGGGCUUAAAGAUCAAGUUUGGCCAGAUUUCGUAUGUCAUUUUCAACUCUUUCGUCCGGAUGCCACACGAUCAAAUCAUUUGGACACUUUUUGGAAUUCAGAUGCUCAUAGUCCCUAG
rnacentral:rRNA from 1 species